CACACCUGAGCUUUGGCAUCCAAGAGCAGGAGACAAUGGAUCCCAAGAGGAAAGGCCAGAGAAAGAAGGCUGAGUGCAGAGCAGAAAGGGGACGACUUGGUCAUGUGGAAAAUGGGUGCAUAGAGAAGGAGACGAGGCCCAUGGGAGACCAUUGGAUGCUCAGGAAACUCCAGGACGAGUAACACCCUGUAAAUGACAGCCUGAUGGGACAAGAUCCUGGGGAAAAUUAAUUCCAUGAGGACAAGAGUCCUGAUGACUGAAGAAUAGAUUCAGGCCCUGGGUGGUUUCUCAUGAAAAGUGAAAGGAAUCAGGUGAGCACACCUGAGCUUUGGCAUCCAAGAGCAGGAGACAUUGGAUCCCAAGAGGAAAGGCCAGAGAAAGAAGGCUGAGUGCAGAGCAGAAAGGGGAAGACUUGGUCACGUGGAAAAUGGGUGCAUAGAGAAGGAGAGGAGGCCUGUGGGCAGGAAUCCAGAGGUUUGCAUCCCAGGAGCUCAAGACAAUUGGAUACCAGGAGAAGACAAUGGAAGGAAGAAGGCUGAGUGAAGAGCAGAAAUGGGAAGACUUAGUCAUGUGGAAACUGAGUUCUGGAAGAGAAGACGCCAAUGGGUGGAUACCAAACUGAGAACUAAUAGGGAAGACCUUGGUCCCCAUCCCCAGGAAGGAAAGAAAGUUAGUGAGGAAGGAUGGAAGGAAAAGCAAAGUCUGGCAAGUUGGCCACACUGGCCUUGAACUUGAAACCCUCCUACCUCAGCUUUGUGUACCUAUUCCGUUCACUUUUCAAGAGAAACCACCGAGGGCCUGAAUCUACUCUUCAGUCAUCAGGACUCUGGUCCUUGUGGAAUUAAUUUUCCCAAGGAUCUUCUCCCAUCACGUGGUCAUUUACAGGGUGUUACUGGUCCUGGAGUUUCCUGAGCAUCCAGUGGUCUCCUAAAGGAGGAUAAAGUCCAUGAAUGAAAUCAGACAACUGAGAAAGCUCUGGAAGCUGGAGGAGAUUUAUUCUGGCUAACAACUCACCAGUCCAAGGGGUCUGUCACUGGACUAUGCUCCAAGACAAGCAGCGA